rnacentral:misc_RNA from 2 species
AGCAGCCGCGGUAAUUCCAGCUCCAAUAGCGUAUAUUAAAGUUGUUGCAGUUAAAAAGCUCGUAGUUGAAUUUUGGGUUUGGCCAAUUGGUCCGUUCUUGUAACGAGUACUGGUUGGUUGGGCCUCACCGCCUGGUGAUACGUAAUGUCCUUUAUUGGGUGUUGCGAGUAGCCAGGAACCUUUACCUUGAAAAAAUUAGAGUGUUUAAAGCAGGCUUAUGCCGGAAUACAUUAGCAUGGAAUAAUAGAAUAGGACGAUGAUUCUAUUUUGUUGGUUUCUAGGAGCAUCGUAAUGAUUAAUAGGGAUAGUUGGGGGCAUUAGUAUUCAAUUGUCAGAGGUGAAAUUCUUGGAUUUAUUGAAGACUAACUACUGCGAAAGCAUUUGCCAAGGAUGUUUUCAUUAAUCAAGAACGAAAGUUAGGGGAUCGAAGACGAUCAGAUACCGUCGUAGUCUUAACCAUAAACUAUGCCGACUAGGGAUCGGGCGAUGUUGUUUCAAUGACUCGCUCGGCACCUUAUGG